rnacentral:snoRNA from 1 species
CUCCACAGUCAUAGAAUCAUUUCUAAAGUAAACGUCCUCUUCUGAGCUUCUCAAACAAGCCACAGAACUUCACCCGCGACGAUGAGCUUUUCCUCGGUGCCCAAGAGUGAAGCCUUUUACUUUCGAACUGUCUGCAAAGAUGGCGGCAACUGCGCUAGCGGAUGCUGUAUAGAAAGUGGUGAUGAUCUCGACCCUUUUCUUUUGCGCUUCGGCCAUGGGAAUUGGGUGGGUGCUGAUGGAUAUCUGAGCGGU